rnacentral:rRNA from 1 species
UACGGAGGGGGGCUAGCGUUGUUCGGAAUUACUGGGCGUAAAGCGCGCGUAGGCGGACCUGCAAGUCGGGGGUGAAAGCCCGAGGCUCAACCUCGGAACUGCCUUCGAUACUGCGGGUCUCGAGUCCGGGAGAGGUGAGUGGAAUUCCUAGUGUAGAGGUGAAAUUCGUAGAUAUUAGGAAGAACACCAGUGGCGAAGGCGGCUGCACUGGCCCGGUACUGACGCUGAGGCGCGAAAGCGUGGGGAGCAAACAGG